CCCCCCCCGCCGCCCGCCAGCGGGCAAAGGCUGUGUUACAGAAAUUGUUACAGAAACAGAUUCAAGCUCAGAAAAUGCAGGGAAUGUGAGGUCAAUGCAAUUUGCCUUUUAACAUUACUCAUAUGCAGAUACAAGAGGGAAGCCACUGGUAAAAAGAUGGUUAAAAGUUGAAUAUCCCACUGCAAGUCAACAUUCAAAUUUAGCUUUCACCUGCCUGCAGUAAGAAUAAGGUUGUAGCAGCUGAGUCCCAGGCCAUGGUUCCUUGCUACUUGCUCCAGUCUCCAUAAACUGAUCAUUGUGGAUCGUCUUCGAUGGGAUUGCAGAAUUUGAUAGUGUUUUUUAAGGAAUAUUGAUGCUGGGUGAGCAGCUGAAAUUGGAUGCUUCAAGGAGGACCGAAGUGGACUGUGAGAAAGAUGUGGUUUCUUGGCGAGUGAUCAUUAAUGGUUUACGAAGGGUAGUCCCUUUUUAAAAGUUGUUGUAUUGUUCUGGAAGAUGUUGAUAGAGGGAGGAUGCUAAAUAAGAGUGUUUGCAUAAACAUGCUUUUGAUAUGUGCUUGUUCUUGGUGCUGUAGCGGUUAGCUUUUAAUGGCCGUAAUGAGCAGGUGUUGCAAAUAUUCACAAAGAUUGGAAAGGAUGAGGUGUGUUACUGAAUGAGUUGAAUUAUUUUAAUUCCAAGGCUCGUGUUUUUGUCUUGUAAGCUGAAUACUCAAAGGUUUGUUGUGUGGUUGAUCUCUGUGGCUGCCCUUGGCUGCUAGAUCCUGCUUAACUCAUGCAGUGUGCGGAACGUUGUGAAGUCUAAAAGUGCAGUGUGCGGAACGUUGCUUAACUCAUGCAGGAACAACAAAAAUGCACUAUUAGGUGAGCAGAAGGAGCUACUUCCGUUGUCACCAGAUCAUAGUGCAUGAGAUGUGAUACAUCAAACUUAUAUGCAGUCAAUAAGAGGUGAGAAAAUUGCUGAAUUGAGGAGAAUAAUGAAGAAUGGAGCAAGGAAGACCCUUGAAAGUAGCUUUAUAGACUUGAAAGAAACUGCUCAUGAGUUUAUUGCAGAGGACAAUUUCCAUCCUUAGAACUAUGGAAUGUUUUGAUAAGAUAAUGAGGGAGCUGUAGGUAACAGGAUUUAAGCGUAACAGAAGCCAACUUUUGCCGGAUAUGGAUGAGGAGAAGAAAGAGACAGUGAGAACUUGGUUCUUGCAUUGGGGCUGAUUUUCGCUCAGCUACAAAGUUCUUGCAUUGGGGCUGAUUUUCGCUCAGCUACAAAGUUGAUUUUGAAAAAAAUUUCUAAUUGUGAAUUUAUUGCAAGGGAUCGGAGACAGGUCCGCCAUUUUAGUGAAGUUGUUGUUCUCACGAGAUUUCAGGCCUUUUCCUUAAUACAAUAGAAAUAUCAUGGAAAUUUUCAAUACAAAGAAAUGGUUCGUGCUCAUACCAUAUUGAAGAGCAGUGACUCUAGAAACUGAAGAUGCUUGAUCGAUG